UACGUAGGGGGCAAGCGUUGUCCGGAAUCAUUGGGCGUAAAGCGCGUGUAGGCGGCCAGGUAAGUCCGUUCUGAAAGCCCGGGGCUCAACCCCGGGAGGCGGAUGGAUACUGCUUGGCUCGAGCCCGGAAGAGGCGAGUGGAAUUCCCGGUGUAGCGGUGAAAUGCGCAGAUAUCGGGAGGAACACCAAUGGCGAAGGCAGCUCGCUGGGACGGUACUGACGCUGAGGAGCGAAAGCGUGGGGAGCGAACAGG
rnacentral:rRNA from 1 species